rnacentral:rRNA from 1 species
AUGACAAAUAUGGUUCGAUGGCUCUUCUCUACUAACCACAAGGAUAUUGGGACUCUCUAUUUCAUCUUCGGUGCCAUUGCAGGAGUGAUGGGCACAUGCUUCUCUGUACUGAUUCGUAUGGAAUUAGCCCGACCCGGCGAUCAAAUUCUUGGUGGGAAUCAUCAACUUUAUAAUGUUUUAAUAACGGCUCAUGCUUUUUUAAUGAUCCUUUUUAUGGUUAUGCUGGCGAUGAUAGGUGGAUUUGGUAAUUGGUUUGUUCCAAUUCUGAUAGGUGCACCUGACAUGGCAUGUCCACGAUUAAAUAAUAUAUCAUUCUGGUUGUGGCCACCAAGUCUCUUCCUCCUAUUAAGCUCAUCCUUAGUAGAAGUGGGCAGCGGCACUGGGUGGACAGUCUAUCCGCCCUUAAGUGGUAUUACCAGUCAUUCUGGAGGAGCAGUUGAUUUAGCAAUUUUUAGUCUUCAUCUAUCAGGUAUUUCAUCAAUUUUAGGUUCUAUCAAUUUUAUAACAACUAUCUUCAACAUGCCUGGACCUGGAAUGACUAUGCAUAGAUUACCACUUUUUGUGUGGUCCGUUCUAGUGACAGCAUUCCUACUUUUAUUAUCACUUCCGGUACUGGCGGGGGCAAUUACAAUGUUAUUAACCGAUCGAAACUUUAAUACAACCUUUUUUGAUCCUGCAGGAGGGGGAGACCCAAUAUUAUACCAGCAUCUCUUUUGGUUCUUCGGUCAUCCAGAGGUGUAUAUUCUCAUUCUUCCUGGAUUUGGUAUUAUUAGUCAUAUCGUAUCGACCUUUUCAAGAAAACCGGUCUUCGGGUAUCUAGGCAUGGUUUAUGCCAUGAUAAGUAUAGGUGUUCUUGGAUUUGUAGUUUGGGCUCAUCAUAUGUUUACUGUGGGCUUAGACGUUGAUACGCGUGCCUACUUCACCGCAGCUACCAUGAUCAUAGCUGUGCCCACAGGAAUCAAAAUCUUUAGUUGGAUCGCUACCAUGUGGGGAGGUUCGAUACAAUACAAAACACCCAUGUUAUUUGCUGUAGGGUUCAUCUUUUUGUUCACCAUAGGAGGGCUCACUGGAAUAGUUCUAGCAAACUCUGGGCUAGACAUUGCUCUACAUGAUACUUAUUAUGUGGUUGCACAUUUCCAUUAUGUACUUUCUACGGGAGCCGUUUUUGCUUUAUUUGCUGGAUUUUACUAUUGGGUGUGUAAAAUCUUUGGUCGGACAUAUCCUGAAACUUUAGGCCAAAUCCAUUUUUGGAUCACUUUUUUGGGGGUUAAUCUGACCUUCUUUCCCAUGCAUUUCUUAGGGCUUUCGGGUAUGCCACGUCGCAUUCCAGAUUAUCCAGAUGCUUAUGCUGGAUGGAAUUCUCUGAGCAGUUUUGGUUCUUAUAUAUCCGUAGUUGGGAUUCGUCGUUUCUUCGUAGUUGUCGCAAUCACUUCAAAUAGUGGAAAGAACCAAAAAUGUGCGGAAAGUCCUUGGGCUGUUGAACAGAAUCCAACCACACUAGAAUGGUUGGUACAAAUCCCUCCGGCCUUUCAUACUUUUGGAGAACUUCCUGCGGUAAAAGAGACAAAAAGCUAA